rnacentral:rRNA from 1 species
UACGUAGGGGGCGAGCGUUAUCCGGAUUCACUGGGUGCAAAGGGAGCGUAGACGGCCAUGCAAGCCAGGGGUGAAAGCCCGGGGCCCAACCCCGGGUCUGCCCUUGGAACUGUGCGGCUAGAGUGCGGGAGGGGCAGGCGGAAUUCCUGGUGUAGCGGUGAAAUGCGUAGAUAUCAGGAGGAACACCGGCGGCGAAGGCGGCCUGCUGGACCGCGACUGACGUUGAGGCUCAAAAGCGUGGGGAGCGAACAGG